CAGUCGAGAAUCUUUCGCAAUGGGCGAAAGCCUGACGAAGCGACGCUGUGUGAGUGAUGAAGGCCUUAGGGUCGUAAAACUCUUUCGCCUGGGAACAAGGAAUGACAGCUAAUAACUGUGAAACUUGAGUGUACCAGGUAAAGAAGCACCGGCUAACUACGUGCCAGCAGCUGCGGUAAUACGUAGGGUGCAAGCAUUAAUCGGAAUUAUUGGGCGUAAAGGGCGCGUAGGCGGGUUGGUAAGUCGUAUGUGAAAUUCCGGGGCUCAACCUCGGAGCUGCAUAGGAAACUACCAAUCUAGAGGGUAGGCGGAGAAAACAGAAUUCCACAAGUAGCGGUGAAAUGCGUAGAUAUGUGGAAGAAUACCGGUGGCGAAGGCGGUUUUCUAGCUUAUUCCUGACGCUGAGGCGCGAAAGCAAGGGGAUCAAACAGGAUUAGA
rnacentral:rRNA from 1 species